rnacentral:rRNA from 1 species
GAUGAACGCUGGCGGCGUGCCUAAUACAUGCAAGUCGAACGAAACUUCUUUAUCACCGAGUGCUUGCACUCACCGAUAAAGAGUUGAGUGGCGAACGGGUGAGUAACACGUGGGCAACCUGCCCGAACGAGGGGGAUAACACUUGGGAACAGGUGCGACUACCGCAUAACCAUGCACACCCCAUGGUGUUUAUGUGAAAGGUGUUUUCGGCUACCGCUUUCGGAUGGGCCCGCGGCGCAUUAGCUAGUUGGUGGGGUAAAAGCUUACCAAGGCAAUGACGCGUAGCCGAACUGAGAGGUUGAUCGGCCACAUUGGGACUGAGACACGGCCCAAACCCCUACGGGAGGCAGCAGUAGGGAAUCUUCCACAAUGGGCGAAAGCCUGAUGGAGCAACGCCGCGUGGGUGAAGAAGGUCUUCGGAUCGUAAAACCCUGUUGUCAGAGAAGAAAGUCCAUGAGAGUAACUGUUCAUGUUUCGACGGUAUCUGACCAGAAAGCCACGGCUAACUACGUGCCAGCCGCCGCGGUAA